rnacentral:rRNA from 1 species
AGAGUUUGAUCCUGGCUCAGGAUUAACGCUGGCGGCGUGCCUUAUGCAUGCAAGUCGAACGAUCUUAACUUCGGUUGGAUAGUGGCGAACGGGUGAGUAACGCGUAGGUGACCUACCUUAAGGCGGGGGACAACCCCGAGAAAUCGGGGCUAAUACCGCGUAUGCUCUCGAGUCAAAUUGAGAGUGAAAGUUCUUCGGGACGCCUUUUGAGGGGCCUGCGUUCGAUUAGCUGGUUGGUGGGGUAACGGCCUACCAAGGCUGAGAUCGAUAGCUGGUCUGAGAGGAUGAUCAGCCACACUGGMACUGRRAYACGGKCCAGACUCCUACGGGAGGCAGCAGUGAGGAAUAUUGCGCAAUGGGCGAAAGCCUGACGCAGCGACGCCGCGUGGGGGAUGAAGGUUUUCGGAUUGUAAACCCCUUUUGUGAGGAAAGAGAAAGUGGGUAACCACUUAGACGUACCUUAAGAAAAAGCCACGCUAACUU